rnacentral:rRNA from 1 species
GACGUAGGGCGCGAGCGUUGUCCGGAUUUAUUGGGCGUAAAGAGCUCGUAGGCGGUCUGUCGCGCGGUCGUGAAAACUUGGGGCUUAACCCUGAGCUUGCGGUCGAUACGGGCAUGACUGGAGUUCGGCAGGGGAGACUGGAAUUCCCAGUGUAGAGGUGAAUUCGUAGAUAUUGGGAAGAACACCGGUGGCGAAGGCGGCUCUCUGGACCGAUACUGACGCUGAGGCGCGAAAGCGUGGGGAGCAAACAGGG